UACGUAGGGUGCAAGCGUUAAUCGGAAUUACUGGGCGUAAAGCGUGCGCAGGCGGUUUUGUAAGUCUGUCGUGAAAUCCCCGGGCUCAACCUGGGAAUGGCGAUGGAGACUGCAAGGCUAGAGUUUGGCAGAGGGGGGUAGAAUUCCACGUGUAGCAGUGAAAUGCGUAGAGAUGCGGAGGAACACCGAUGGCGAAGGCAGCCCCCUGGGCUGACACUGACGCUCAGGCACGAAAGCGUGGGGAGCAAACAGG
rnacentral:rRNA from 1 species